rfam:Candidatus Portnoybacteria bacterium RIFCSPHIGHO2_01_FTLL_40_12b rifcsphigho2_01_scaffold_10354, whole genome shotgun sequence.
GGGCCAGUAGCUCAGCGGUUAGAGCACGUCUCUUAUAAAGACGGGGUCGAUGGUUCGAAUCCAUCCUGGCCCA